AAUAUUGCACAAUGGAUGAAACUCUGAUGCAGCGACGCCGCGUGAGUGAAGAAGGUCUUCGGUUCGUAAAACUCUGUCUUUGGCGAAGAUAAUGACGGUAGCCCAGGAGGAAGCCCCGGCUAACUACCUUCCAGCAGCCGCGGUAAUACGUAGGGGGCUAGCGGUGUCCGGACUUACUGGGCGUAAAGGGUGAGUAGGCGGUUGCAUAAGUCAGAUGUAAAAGGCUAAGGCUUAACCAUAGUAUGCAUUUGAAACUGUGUGACUUGAGUACAGGAGAGGUAAGCGGAAUUCCUAGUGUAGCGGUGAAAUGCGUAGAUAUUAGGAGGAACACCAGUGGCGAAGGCGACUUACUGGACUGUAACUGACGCUGAGUCACGAAAGCGUGGGUAGCAAACA
rnacentral:rRNA from 1 species